rnacentral:rRNA from 1 species
UACGUAGGGGGCAAGCGUUGUCCGGAUUUAUUGGGCGUAAAGAGCGUGUAGGCGGCCAUACAGGUCCGUUGUGAAAACUCGAGGCUCAACCUCGAGACGUCGAUGGAAACCGUAUGGCUAGAGUCCGGAAGAGGAGAGUGGAAUUCCUGGUGUAGCGGUGAAAUGCGCAGAUAUCAGGAAGAACACCCGUGGCGAAGGCGGCUCUCUGGGACGGUACUGACGCUGAGGAGCGAAAGCGUGGGGAGCGAACAGG